GAUGAACGCUGGCGGCGCGCCUAACGCAUGCAAGUCGAACGGCACCCCUCCUCGGAGGGAAGCGAGUGGCGAACGGCUGAGUAACACGUGGAGAACCUGCCCCCUCCCCCGGGAUAGCCGCCCGAAAGGACGGGUAAUACCGGAUACCCCGGGGUGCCGCAUGGCACCCCGGCUAAAGCCCCGACGGGAGGGGAUGGCUCCGCGGCCCAUCAGGUAGACGGCGGGGUGACGGCCCACCGUGCCGACAACGGGUAGCCGGGUUGAGAGACCGACCGGCCAGAUUGGGACUGAGACACGGCCCAGACUCCUACGGGAGGCAGCAGUGGGGAAUCUUGCGCAAUGGGGGGAACCCUGACGCAGCGACGCCGCGUGCGGGACGGAGGCCUUCGGGUCGUAAACCGCUUUCAGCAGGGAAGAGUCAAGACUGUACCUGCAGAAGAAGCCCCGGCUAACUACGUG
rnacentral:rRNA from 1 species